GACGAACGCUGGCGGCGUGCUUAACACAUGCAAGUCGAGCGGUAAGGCCCUUUCGGGGGUACACGAGCGGCGAACGGGUGAGUAACACGUGGGUGACCUGCCUUUAGCUCUGGGAUAAGCCUGGGAAACUGGGUCUAAUACCGGAUAUGACUCCGCGGUGCAUGCUGUGGGGUGGAAANCCUUGUGCGGCUGGAGAUGGGCCCGCGGCCUAUCAGCUUGUUGGUGGGGUGAGGCCUACCAAGGCGACGACGGGUAGCCGGCCUGAGAGGGCGACCGGCCACACUGGGACUGAGACACGGCCCAGACUCCUACGGGAGGCAGCAGUGGGGAAUCUUGCGCAAUGGGCGAAAGCCUGACGCAGCGACGCCGCGUGAGGGAUGACGGCCU
rnacentral:rRNA from 1 species